UACGUAGGGUGCAAGCGUUAAUCGGAAUUACUGGGCGUAAAGCGUGCGCAGGCGGCUUUGCAAGACAGAUGUGAAAUCCCCGGGCUUAACCUGGGAACCUGCAUUUGUGACUGCAUGGCUGGAGUGCGGCAGAGGGGGAUGGAAUUCCGCGUGUAGCAGUGAAAUGCGUAGAUAUGCGGAGGAACACCGAUGGCGAAGGCAAUCCCCUGGGCCUGCACUGACGCUCAUGCACGAAAGCGUGGGGAGCAAACAGG
rnacentral:rRNA from 1 species